CUCUUUCUCUCCUGUGACCAUGUGAAGAAGCUGCUUGCCUCCGCUUCACCUUCCACCAUGAUUGUAAGUUUCCUGAGGCCUCCCAGUCAUGCUUGCCGUUAAAACUGUGGAACUAAAAGUGACAACUUAAAAACUUUCUUUAAACAUAUCACUCUGACACCAAUGUGUAAGAUGAAGUGGACAGGAAUGGAACUGUACUGGGAGGCUCUGACAGUUCGGGUGAGAAGAAAUGAAGGGUUCUACAACCAAGAGGGAAUUCAACAAAUUAAAGU
rnacentral:lncRNA from 1 species